ACAAAAACAUAAACACAAACACACACACAAAACACAUACACACACACACACACACACACACACACACACACACACACACACACACACACACACACACACACACACACAAACACAAAUACACUUAGUAAAGGGAAGUCUAGGGGUUUCAGAUCAUCACUGUAUAAUACACUUAGUAAAGGAAUGUCUAAGGGUUUCAGAUCAGCAGACCGGGACACAGGAAGGGGCGGGACUUUGGCCCAGGCUGUGUACCGCCUCCACAAACACACUGUCUCUCUCUCUAGUGGACCUGUCUGUCUCCCUCUACUGGACCUGUCUGUCUCUCUCCCUCCCUCUCUACUAGACCUGUCUUUCUCUCUCCCUCCAGUGGACCUGUCUGUUUCUCACCUGCACCUGUCUGUCUCUCGAUUAAACCAGACUGUCUCUCAAAUUAACCUGUCUCUCUCUCAAGUGAACCUGUCUCGCCCUCUAGUGGACCUGUCUCUCUCUAGUGAGCCUCUCUCUCUCUGUAGUGGACCUGUCCCUCUCUCUCGUGGACCUGUCUCUCUCUAGUGAACCUGUCUCUCUCUCUAGUGGAGCUGUCCAGUCUGUCUCUCUGUAUGACUAACUCCAAACAAGGCGAGCCCUGCUUCUACGUGAUCGGACGCACAGACAACACCCGGCCCUGAGGAGCAGCAGGAGGAGCAGGAGGAGCAGGAGGAGUGGGAGGAGCGGGAGGAGAGGGAGGAGCGGGAUCUGGCUUCAGCACCGGGGGGGAGCAAGCCCCCCCUCCGGCAGAGAGGAGGAGCAGAGAGGAGGAGCACGCCCCCCCUCCGACAGAGAGGAGGAGCAGAGAGGAGGAGUGGGGCUCCUGAUUUGGACCUAGACCGGGAAGGGGAGGGACCGACAGGAAGAAAGGACGACAAAGAGAGCGAGAAAGAAAGCAACUCCUACCGUCCAAUCAGACGGCAGCUUUCUCCUUCCUCGGGCCGGUGGACAAGUCAGAGUUUAGCCAAUCAGACGCCAGCAUCACCUCAGCAGAAGUGGGGUCUGGGAGGGGGGAGGGCUCUUAUAGUUCAAGAGCUGAGUUGGCAUGGCAACACCCUGGCCCCUGGCGGGAGCCCCACCCACACAGGCUGAAACAAGAUCUGAUUGGCAGUCGGCUUAGGGGGCGGGACUUAGUCAGGGGACUGUCUCUCUAAUUGGCUGGAAGAACAAUCUUGUAGCUGACACCAAGAUCUCCAGCAGAAUAUAGAGUAGGAGGGGGAGAGAGGAGGAGGAGGAAGAGGGAGAGGGGG
ensembl:lncRNA